GAAACCGACAACAUUCAACAUGGCGCUUUUUGCUAGUCUAUGCUGAAAGUAGAUGAAAUAGACAUGUAUUCGAUCAGCGAAGCUUCACAGAAGAUGCAAAAGCCGAAAAGGAGAAAGCGAGUUUUCCACAACAUUCGCAACAUAACCGUAAAUAGAGGCGUGACAGGGUUCGGCUUCACGAUCGCCGGCGAGGGGCCGUGCACGCUCAGCUACGUCGCGCCAGGUGGCGCCGCC